AUGGCAAAAAACACCCCCAGCCCUCCGCCGAGGGCAAGAUCUCGCCGGGGCGCGGCGCCGACGUCGCCAACCCCAGCCGCCGCUCUGAGCCCUCCUUUCUCCCUUGCCCCACUGCGCACCCGCCUUGGCGCUGCUGCUGCUGCUGCGGCGGCGGCGGCCGCCGCCGCCGCCGCCGCCUCCUCAUCCCCCGNNNNNNNNNNNNNNGUCACGCUGUGGGAAUGGUGGCCGGUGAGGGUGGAAGGGGAGGAGCGGAAACUCGCGGUUUCCGGCUUCACUGAAAGGAAUGACGCAUUCACUUCUGCACCCAUAGCACAUCGUUAUGAGCCUCUCACGCUCCAGGAUGAAGGUGGGGUUGUGGUGCUCCUUCAUGGUUCAAUUAGCUUGUUGCGAAUGCGUCAAAAUGGAUUUUCUGUGCAGAUAUGCGAACAAUUCAUGAUUGGAUUUCCGUCCUGGUGGGAGACUUGGGAUUCGCACAUGGAGUCUUACCCAAACUGUUUUAUUGAUCCACGAGAGGGUUCAGCUCAGUUUUACCUGGAGAAAUUCCAGCUAGGCAAUUUUAUUCAAAAGUUUGGACCCUCGUUCAUCGAGGACCUUCUUAAUAAUGCUAAAAAUUUCCCAAUCGACCAUCUCGAUGCAUUCACAGAGAGUUCAAGAUUCCAGGAACACAACUGUGGAAAUGAUGCUUCAACCAACGAAAAUUCUGCUGCUUCAGAUGAUGCCAGACCCGCAACUGUAGCUAAUGUGGAAAUAGGCUUGACUACGAGCAGCACUUCACAAGAAAGAGAUCAUGUGGACAUUGAGUGUAAUGUAUCUCUUGCUCCUGCAGAAACAUAUACUGGUGAUGAAACUUGCAAAGAGGCAGGAAAUCAGAAUGACACUAUGCAUCCAGAUGCAAGGGAAGACAAUGCUGGUAGCCAUCUUUUCAACUCCGAUUGGACUUGCACUAUGUGCCCUGAUCAUAUGCCCAAUGACUCAGAAGGUGGAAAUGCCACCCGUGCUGAAAAUGACACCAUGUCCCCUGAUCAUAUGUCCCCUGAUAAUAUGCCCAAUGACUCGGAAGGUGGAAAUGCCACCAGUGCUGAAAACUCAGUAGAACUGCUGGGUAAAUAUCCUUUAGCCGUAGUACUGCCUGAAAGUGCUAAUUGCUGCUCAGAGAUUCCUGGUGCUUCUCAAAGUGUUGAACCCUCAAGUUAUCAAAGUACUCCAGUGGCUUCACUGAAGAAUCAACACUGCUUGGAAACAACUGAGCACAUCACAUUGACUCAGAAGGCAGUAUCAAAUGAAGAUACACCAUCUUCAAUUCACUCAGAUGUGCAAUCCCAGGAAAAAACUGUAGGUUCAGCAGAGAAGCGGAGAUCUGCAAAGCAAGUGUUGGAGCGUCCUACUAGAUCGCCAAUGACCAGAACUUCAGCCCCAUAUGUGCAUAAAUCUCGGCUUACUCGUUCUAGGGCCCAGUCAUUAUCUAUUUCCACACCCGAGUCUCUCAAAAUGAGAAGAACCAAAUCAGGUCGAGUGGUAGUACCCCAAUUGGAUCCAGGAAGGAGUAGGAUUGUCUAUGACAACAAUGGGUUGAUUUCAGGCGUUGCUCCUGUGGAUGGGAAGAAGUCAGCGAGACCUGCAAAGAACACAAGGGGGCCUCUCUGA
rnacentral:rRNA from 1 species